rnacentral:lncRNA from 1 species
AUUUGUACUUGGUUUUAGAAUCACUUAGCUUCCUGGUUGAUAUAGUGGUUAGGUUGACAAAUUCUUUGUAUGGGCGUGGAAUUGUCCGCUUAGCUUCCUAUAUUGAUUAGUGGCCGAGUUUGGUUUGAUAACCACUUAGUUUCUGAUAAUGAUAAUCAUUGGAACCUAAUGUCGCGCUAUUUGUUAUAUGCAUGUUAAGAAGGUGUUUCUUUUCUCAUGUGUAUAACGAAUAGGUAGAGGAUAUAAGGUUAAGUUGUGAGUUCUUAAAACUCAUACUUAUGGUAAGUUCAUGACUCAUAAUCAUAUGGUAUGUUUUGAACCCCUCAGCGAAUGGACGCCUAUGGUCUGACUAGGAUAAGUUCUUAAACUCAUAUGAUUGUGGCAAGUUCCUGAACUCAUAAUGUGUGGUAAGUUUGAUGAACUGGGGUAUAGCAAAGUGGUGAAUGGAGCAUUGAGGAUUAUAAGAAUAGAUAGAUCUAUUAAGUA